rnacentral:rRNA from 1 species
GAUGAACGCUGGCGGCGUGCCUAAUACAUGCAAGUCGAGCGAAUCGGGAACAGGUGAGUAACACGUGGAUAACCUCCUAUAUCACUGGGAUAACAUCGGGGAACCGGACCUCUAUCCGAUACUUAUGCAUGCAUCUACGUUGCAUGAGCUAGUUGGUAAGGUAACGGCUGACAAAGGCAACGAUGCAUAGCCGACCUGAGAGGGUGAUCGGCCACACUGGGACUGAGACACGGCCCAGACUCCUACGGGAGGCAGCAGUAGGGAAUCUUCCGCAAUGGGCGAAAGCCUGACGGAGCAACGCCGCGUGAGUGAUGAAGGUCUUCGGAUCGUAAAGCUCUGUUAUUAGGGAAGCGGUAUCUAAUCAGAAAGCCACGGCUAACUACGUGCCAGCAGCCGCGGUAAUUC